rnacentral:rRNA from 1 species
AAGCAGGGGAUCGUAAGACCUUGCGCUUUUGGAGCGGCCGAUGCCUGAUUAGCUAGUUGGUGGGGUAAAGGCCUACCAAGGCGACGAUCAGUAGUUGGUCUGAGAGGACGACCAGCCACACUGGGACUGAGACACGGCCCAGACUCCUACGGGAGGCAGCAGUGGGGAAUUUUGGACAAUGGGCGAAAGCCUGAUCCAGCAAUGCCGCGUGAGUGAAGAAGGCCUUCGGGUUGUAAAGCUCUUUCAGUCGAGAAGAAAAGAUUGUGAUGAAUAAUCACAAUUCAUGACGGUAUCGACAGAAGAAGCACCGGCUAACUACGUGCCAGCAGCCGCGGUAAUACGUAGGGUGCAAGCGUUAAUCGGAAUUACUGGGCGUAAAGGGUGCGCAGGCGGCUUUGUAAGUCAGAUGUGAAAUCCCCGGGCUUAACCUGGGAAUUGCGUUUGAAACUACAAGGCUAGAGU